rnacentral:pre_miRNA from 1 species
GUGAGAAUGACAGUGCAGUUCUUCUUUGGCAUGGAGUCGAAGCUGGUCCAAAUGCACGCUUAAUUACCCUCCUUGCCAAAGGAGAAUUGCCCUGCCAUUUGCUG